UAAAAUAUACAUUUUACUAAGAAAUGUUAAACACCGUUAAUUUUUAUUUGCAAUGAUUUUUAUCUAGAUAACCUCAAAUGUUAUCUAGAUUUUUUAUUAUAUACAUAAUAUUUACUAUACGUUGACAUAAAAUAAAUAUACGUAAAAUUAUUGAUGAGAGUAAAAUAAAUUUUAUUACUAAAAUAAAUAUACGUAAUAUAUAUUUAUUAGAUUUUUUUAGUUUAUGGGAGUCGGCGUAUAGGCGCCGUAUACUAAAUAUAUAUAAAAUAAAAAUAAAUAUUAUGUUUAUUGUAAGAGCAAUCUCCGAGGUAGGCUAAACCUUGAAGGCAUCGUCUCUCUCAGCCUCAACCCAGAACACAUCGACCUCACCAUCGACGAACUCUGUCGGCCAGCUCCGGCGAAGGACGACAACUGCCGGUGAAUGACGACCAGUUUCGGCUAACAUACGAGCAAUCUCCGAGGUAGGCUAUUGAUUUUCCCCCUGUUUGAUGUUUGUAUAACUAUUCGAUUUUCGCUUUCUUUUUCCCCUUAUGUUUUCUUUAUCUGGUAAUAAUUCUGAUAAACACAUUAUUUUGCUUUUGCUUUGUUUGAAUUACAUGAUACAUUUGUGAUUUCUAGUUUGCGAAAUUGGGGGAUUUAUUUGUUAGGUUUUGAUUUUCUGUUUGAAACCAUGAGAUUUUCUUUGUUCGAUGUUUACUAUUGAUGUUCGAUCUUCGUUGUCUUAGUUAUUCAGAAAAAUCGUUUCGCUGCUCCUUUUUUCUUUCUCUGGUAAUAUUUUUUAUAAACACAUUCUUUUACUUCUGUCCGAUUAUGGUUGUGCUGCUUUCACUUAAAAUUGUGUGAUUCGUUCAUGUCUGUGCUUUAGUCCAACGGGUAACUGUUUGCCUUCACGUCUAUUAGACAUUGGGGUUAUUCUUCUCAGCAAAUUGCUUGCCUUUCUAAAUUUUCUUGCUUGGUAAAAAUGAUGCUAUCUAAUCCUUAAAAUCCAUGUAAUAAACUUUCGGAAGAGAGCUUUUUCGACUUAUAGGUAGUUCGUCAAUCAUACUCUCAUAGUUGUAAUUAAUAACUUAGUGCAAAGAACGAAAAGCUAUAAGCAUUCUGUUCAAGUUGUAAACUGUUGAGGUCUUUUCUUUAUAAUUACGACCUAGGAACUUAACUUACCCAUUUCCAAUUACAUAUUUUGUCCAAUUUUAUGAUGUUAUUUGGUCACAGUAUGUCCCAGAAUAGUAGAACUUUCCUAGAACAGUGAAUAUCCAAACCCCUUUCUAACCUCAAGUGCUUAAACUAUUAUAUGUACAGUAAACUUUUAAGCAAAUGAAAGGGACUAUGGAUAGAAGACAUGGAAACACCUCAAUUACAAGCAAAUGAGUAGACUGUUUCUAACAUAAUUAUUGCUUCAUGUCAUGUAAUAGCAUAAUAAUUGCAUUAUGGUGAAAGCAAGUUCAUCACAGAGUGAUCCUAUGAAUCUUUCGGAGAAUAGAGCUCCUUUGGAGUAAAGCAGUGAUGUUACAGUUAGAGAUUAAGAAUGAAAUUGUCCCGUCCUUUAUCUAAAAGAAACUUUUAAAGAGUUGAAGUUAUCAUGAAUAAGUGUAUUAGUAUCUGUAUGAAUACGAGCGUAUAGAAGUACAACUUGUCCACCCAAAAAAGGAAAAAAUUAUAUAACUAAAAAUAGAAAGAAAAAUAAAUCUAGAAGUUCAAGUGCUCAACUGAAAGGAUGGUUACUUGAAAGUUGAUUCAUUUUGCAGUUUCAGGUUCGCUAAGUAGUAUCUGAGGUAGUUUUAGAUGCCUCAUCUUAUUUAUGAAGACGAUAAUGUGAAGUAAUUGUUUGAAAACUGUGACAUGCAGAAAAUGAAGUGGUGAUGUCCCUACUUGUCUUUGGUUGCCCCCUUCCUCAUGUCUUUCCUCCUCUCUUGGACAUCAUCAAACCUUUGCCUUCUUAUUUUUUCUCAGGGUGCUGCUCGCAAAUUAGCUACACAGAGAAAGAAUAUAGAGGUCGUUGAAUCUGUUGGUGUAGCAGGGAAAUCUGAUCCCGAUAGGAAAGUCAAGUACUUCACACUGGAGGUAAGUGUGCUUUUUCCUUUCUCCCACAACAUAGUAUCUAGCUGCUUUCCUCGAUGAGUAUUGAGUACAAAGGGCCAGUUAAAUUUGCAAGCGAAAUUGCAAAUUGUGACAUUGUAAUCUCUAUCAAAAUAAAGGUGGAGAGAUGUGAUGUAUCUGAGCGUGUUAAUAAAUGGAAUGCUAUUUUGAUGAUAUAGUAUACUUAUGUUGAUGUGUUGAAAUGCUGCAUAAUGUGGUUACGGCCGAGUGCACCACCAUUCCUUCUGCUAGCCCUUCUCAUCUCUGUCGUUUGCUCCUUCCCCCCCCCC
rnacentral:lncRNA from 1 species